rnacentral:rRNA from 1 species
AUCGUACCCAGAACCAACACAGGUGCUCGAGUCGAGUAGACUAAGGCGGUUGAGAGAACUAUGUUGAAGGAACUAGGCAAAAUACAUCCGUAACUUCGGGAUAAGGAUGACCUCCUUCAAGGCAACUUUAAUGAGGUGACACAAACCAGGUGGGGGCGACUGUUUACUUAAAACCCAGGUCUCUGCUAAAUCGUAUAAGAUGAUGUAUAGGGACUGACGCCUGCCCAGUGCUGGAAGGUUAAGCUGAGGAGUGCAAGCUCUGAUGUGAAGCCCCAGUAAACGGCGGCCGUAACUCUAACGGUCCUAAGGUAGCGAAAUUCCUUGUCGGGUAAGUUCCGACCCGCAUGAAUGGCGUAACGAUCUCCACACUGUCUCCAACAUAGACUCAGCGAAAUUGAAUUCUCGGUGAAAAUGCCGGGUACCCGCAGCUAGACGGAAAGACCCUAUGAAGCUUUACUGUAGGUUCGUACUGGCAUAUUGAUACAUUUGCGUAGGAUAGGUGGGACGCUUUGAAGUCAGGAUUUCGGUUCUGAUGGAGCGGUUGGUGAAAUACCACCCUUGUGUAUUGAUAUGUCUAACCCGCGUUCAUGAAACAGGGCGGGGGACAGUGCGUGCUGGGCAGUUUGACUGGGGUGGUCGCCUCCCAAAUCGUACCGGAGGCGCGCGAAGGUUUGCUCAGGCUGGUCGGAAAUCAGCCGGUGAGUGCAAUGGCAAAAGCAAGCCUGACUGCAAGAGGGACACCUCGAGCAGAGACGAAAGUCGGUCAUAGUGACCCGGUGGUCCCGCAUGGAAGGGCCAUCGCACACGGAUAAAAGCUACUCUAGGGAUAACAGGCUGAUGCUACCCAAGCGUCCAUAGCGACGGUAGUGUUUGGCACCUCGAUGUCGACUCAUCGCAUCCUGGGGCUGGAGCAGGUCCCAAGGGUAUGGCUGUUCGCCAUUUAAAGCGGUACGUGAGUUGGGUUAAUAACGUCGUGAGACAGUUAGGUCCCUAUCUACUGUGGGCGUUGGAUAUUUGAGCGAACUUGACCUUAGUACGAGAGGACCGGGUCGAACGAACCACUGGUGUACCUGUUGUCGCGCCCGCGGCAUUGCAGGGUAGCUAUGUUCGGAACAGAUAACCGCUGAAAGCAUCUAAGCGGGAAGCUGGUCGCAAGAUAAGAUAUCCCCAUGAGUUCAGUUCUAGACUAGGACAUUGAUAGGUGGCAGGUGUAAGUCCGGUGACGGAUUCAGCUUAGCCAUACUAAUCGAACCAUUGACUUUUUAUC